GACGGGGGCCCGCACAAGCGGUGGAUGAUGUGGUUUAAUUCGAUGCAACGCGAAAACCUUACCACCUUUGACAUGUACGGAAUCCUUUAGAGAUAGAGGAGUGCUCGAAAGAGAACCGUAACACAGGUGCUGCAUGGCUGUCGUCAGCUCGUGUCGUGAGAUGUUGGGUUAAGUCCCGCAACGAGCGCAACCCUUGUCAUUAGUUGCCAUCAUUUGGUUGGGCACUCUAAUGAGACUGCCGGUGACAAACCGGAGGAAGGUGGGGAUGACGUCAAGUCCUCAUGGCCCUUAUGGGUAGGGCUUCACACGUCAUACAAUGGUCGGUACAGAGGGUUGCCAACCCGCGAGGGGGAGCUAAUCCCACAAAGCCGAUCGUAGUCCGGAUCGCAGUCUGCAACUCGACUGCGUGAAGUCGGAAUCGCUAGUAAUCGUGGAUCAGCAUGUCACGGUGAAUACGUUCCCGGGUCUU
rnacentral:rRNA from 1 species